AAAACAAGUGGAUCCGGGCUUAAUUGGCUGCACAAAGACCAAGCCAGGAUGAGCAGACACGGAUUCAUCAAGCCAGGUGAAACUAAUCCUGGAUAUGUGCGCGCUCACGGCUCACUCAAACAGACCUGCCCCCGAUCACAGAUUCACCAAGGCAACUAGAGCGGCGUACUUUUCCCCGUCGGAGGCAAAAAUCCUAAUGGAGGCAUACGAGGAGGUAAAAGACAAUUAAAGCAAAGAGAAAAAGCGUGGCAAAGUAUUGCAGACCACCUAAAUGCAGUGCCACCAGCCAUGGACUGGGACAAUCCGGCAAUCUUCCCUGAUGACGCCAUUGGUCGGCUGCUGAGGGACCAAUAUAUGUUGAAUGAUUUUAGUUAGUAUGUGUGCUUUCAAUUUUGAUUAAAUAUGGCCUGCGGUGGCAGAUGAA